CCCACAGUUAAGAGUGUUUGGA
rnacentral:siRNA from 1 species